AACCUUCAUUUACAUCAUCGCAAAUGAGAUAACUGACCAAACUACAGCUGAUCAGAGAGAUAACUGACCAAACUACAGCUGAUCAUAGAGAUAACUGACCAAACUACAGCUGAUCAGAGAGAUAACUGACCAAACUACAGCUGAUCAGAGAGAUAACUAACCAAACUACAGGUGAUCAGAAAGAUAACUGACCAAACUACAGCCGCUCAGUGAGAUAACUGACCAAACUACAGCUGAUCAGAGAGAUAACUGACCAAACUACAGCUAAUCAGAGAGAUAACUGACCAAACUACAGCUGAUCAUAGAGAUAACUGACCAAACUACAGGUGAUCAG